CAUUCCGUGCCAGUCAUAGCGUUCGAGUGAGUUGACCGAUCUUCCGUCUCUCUCACUCUAGCGGCAUACAAACGAAUGGAGAUUUUCUCGUGCGGUUAAGUUUUCGUUGAAUGUUUUAUCGGCCGAUAAAAAGUUUGUAGUGUGCGGGGAGCCUAACAGUAAAACAAAAUGUGAAGUGCAAGUGAAGUGUUACAACAAUUGCAACAAACAAAACUUAUAUCACCAAUAAGACGUUAUCACGUAAACAUCUCGAUCGUAAACCUACUUUACAAACAACCAUUUUUUUUUUAUCGUCAGGCGAUCUGCACGUACAUUUUCUUCACCAUAAUUUGUGUUUCUUAAUUUUUCUUCGAGUUAUUAAGUAAUGCUUCCUACAUUACGUGAUCUGUACAUACGCAGAGGUCAUCAAUUAAUAUCCUGGCAACUUAUUGGAUAUGCCAAAGACACAUAAACUUAUGUUGCAUCAAGCGUGUGCAUCUCAACAGCGAUAGUGACCUCGUGCAGUUACUGUCGGUUGUUUGCAACUCAAGGCAUACGCAGUUCCAUUUCGGUUGUCGAGUGAAUCCCGGGUUUUCAUUACUACUAGUUUUCGUUCUUCAAAUCAUAAUUAGAUAAAUUGCGAAAUGUUCAAUUAACAAUUUAAUUGACGGCAUUUACUGAAAUCGGAUGUGAACAUGGCUUUUCUGGUGAGAUAGCAUGUGUUGAAUGAUCAUCAAUCACGAAGUUAUCGGUGGUUCACCUAUGCGCAUGAGAUGUUCCGUCGGCCGUCGGUGAUGGCUUUUCGCUUGUGGAAUUACAUUGCACUCGUGUUGACCUAUGUGUAAAUAACGUGUCCACACAUACUUAAUAAUAAUUUGGAUUUAUGUGUAAUUAGUAUAAAUAAACAACGUUGAUGCCUGUUAAAGAAGUUUAAGAACACUUGUGAAAAGCAGUCUACCGCUUCUGUCGCAGAAAUGCUAAAGAAGCGCAAGUUGAUUACAAGGCAAGUUUUACUUUCAGGAUAUUUAAGAGGUGUCUAUGAUUUUCGAUUAAAAAAAAUUAUGUAGUUUUUAUUUAAUGUUGCUAAUAAAACAUAAUAUA